UGCAGAGGUGGCAAGCGUUGUCCGGAUUUAUUGGGCGUAAAGAGCGUGUAGGCGGCCAGACAGGUCCGUUGUGAAAACUCGAGGCUCAACCUCGAGAUGUCGAUGGAAACCGUCUGGCUAGAGUCCGGAAGAGGAGUGUGGAAUUCCUGGUGUAGCGGUGAAAUGCGCAGAUAUCAGGAGGAACACCGGUGGCGAAGGCGGGAUCCUGGGCCAGUACUGACGCUGAGGAGCGAAAGCGUGGGGAGCAAACAGG
rnacentral:rRNA from 1 species